CAGCAGCCGCGGGAAUACGUAGGUGGCAAGCGUUGUCCGGAAUUAUUGGGCGUAAAGGGCUCGCAGGCGGUUUCUUAAGUCUGAUGUGAAAGCCCCCGGCUCAACCGGGGAGGGUCAUUGGAAACUGGGAAACUUGAGUGCAGAAGAGGAGAGUGGAAUUCCACGUGUAGCGGUGAAAUGCGUAGAGAUGUGGAGGAACACCAGUGGCGAAGGCGACUCUCUGGUCUGUAACUGACGCUGAGAAGCGAAAGCGUGGGGAGCGAACAGGAUUAGAUACCCCUGUAGUCCCUGUCUCUUAUAC
rnacentral:rRNA from 1 species